ACGGCGGCCGUAACUAUAACGGUCCUAAGGUAGCGAAAUUCCUUGUCGGGUAAGUUCCGACCUGCACGAAUGGCGUAAUGAUGGCCAGGCUGUCUCCACCCGAGACUCAGUGAAAUUGAACUCGCUGUGAAGAUGCAGUGUACCCGCGGCAAGACGGAAAGACCCCGUGAACCUUUACUAUAGCUUGACACUGAACAUUGAGCCUUGAUGUGUAGGAUAGGUGGGAGGCUUUGAAGUGUGGACGCCAGUCUGCAUGGAGCCGACCUUGAAAUACCACCCUUUAAUGUUUGAUGUUCUAACGUUGGCCCGUAAUCCGGGUUGCGGACAGUGUCUGGUGGGUAGUUUGACUGGGGCGGUCUCCUCCUAAAGAGUAACGGAGGAGCACGAAGGUUGGCUAAUCCUGGUCGGACAUCAGGAGGUUAGUGCAAUGGCAUAAGCCAGCUUGACUGCGAGCGUGACGGCGCGAGCAGGUGCGAAAGCAGGUCAUAGUGAUCCGGUGGUUCUGAAUGGAAGGGCCAUCGCUCAACGGAUAAAAGGUACUCCGGGGAUAACAGGCUGAUACCGCCCAAGAGUUCAUAUCGACGGCGGUGUUUGGCACCUCGAUGUCGGCUCAUCACAUCCUGGGGCUGAAGUAGGUCCCAAGGGUAUGGCUGUUCGCCAUUUAAAGUGGUACGCGAGCUGGGUUUAGAACGUCGUGAGACAGUUCGGUCCCUAUCUGCCGUGGGCGCUGGAGAACUGAGGGGGGCUGCUCCUAGUACGAGAGGACCGGAGUGGACGCAUCACUGGUGUUCGGGUUGUCAUGCCAAUGGCACUGCCCG
rnacentral:rRNA from 1 species